rnacentral:rRNA from 1 species
AGAGUUUGAUCAUGGCUCAGGAUGAACGCUAGCUACAGGCUUAACACAUGCAAGUCGAGGGGAAACGACAUCGAAAGCUUGCUUUUGAUGGGCGUCGACCGGCGCACGGGUGAGUAACGCGUAUCCAACCUGCCCACCACUUGGGGAUAACCUUGCGAAAGUAAGACUAAUACCCGAUGAUAUCUCUAGAAGACAUCUGAAAGAGAUUAAAGAUUUAUCGGUGAUGGAUGGGGAUGCGUCUGAUUAGCUUGUUGGCGGUGUAACGGCCCACCAAGGCAACGAUCAGUGGGGUUCUGAGAGGAAGGUCCCCCACAUUGGAACUGAGACACGGUCCAAACUCCUACGGGAGGCAGCA